GGAAGCCUUUUUUCCACACUGUUGGACUCAACUUUUUAGCUCCACUAGAGGGCGACAUUAUCAAGUAGGCGGUGCACUACUUCUGCACUGUGUUCAACCAUUCUGUCAAUAAUAACUGCUGCUGUGAAGAGAACAAUUGUCACACUGAAUGUUGAACAUCAGCUAGUUUCUCCUGUUGAUUUAAACCUUGUUGUAGAGAUGGAACAUUGGCUGUGGAUUAUUCUUGCUGCUCUUUUCUUUGGACUAAUAGCUGGAGACACAAUCUCUCCUGUAGGAGAUAAAGUCAGUGGAAGAGAAGGAGAAUCUGUCACACUCAGAUGUCGAUAUGAGACAGCUGGCAGCUAUAUAGACCUUCACUGGUACAGACAUUCUGACCUUCAGGCUCCUCAGUUUAUACUCUAGAAAGGAGCAAAAGGAUCUUCAGCUGAAUACAUUCCAGAUAAACGAUAUGAAUCUAAAACAACAGAUUCAUCAACUGAACUGACCAUCAGAAAACUAACCCUGGCAGACACAGCUCUCUACUACUGUGCUCUAGAAACACAGUGAUACAAAGUGUAGAAGAGGCUGUACAAAAACCUGAACACAGAUAUCUGACUACUCUUCAAAGAGGAGGGAAGUGGUAUUCAAACCACAGCUUCAUAUCAGAUGGAUUCUGCUAAUUCCUGUUUUAUCAGAGUCACUGUGGUUACAGCUGCUAAUGAAACACUGUGGGAGGAUUCACAUGAGCAGCAAAUCCACAUCAAUGACAAACCAACUGGAUGAUGCUUCAAACACAAGACACCAUGGAAACAAAUAAAUCAACACUGAAAAUUAAAAUGAGUAAUAUGUGACAUCUGAACAACAACGUGUCUAACAUACAAACGUUUAAAUAAAUAGAUUUGUGACCUGA